GUGGCGCACGGGUGCGUAACGCGUAUACAAUCUACCUUUUACAGAGGGAUAGCCCAGAGAAAUUUGGAUUAACACCUCAUGGUAUUGAGAAUUGGCAUCGAUUUUCAAUUAAAACUCCGGUGGUAAGAGAUGAGUAUGCGUUCUAUUAGCUAGUAGGUAGGGUAACGGCUUACCUAGGCAACGAUAGAUAGGGGCCCUGAGAGGGGGAUCCCCCACACUGGUACUGAGACACGGACCAGACUCCUACGGGAGGCAGCAGUGAGGAAUAUUGGACAAUGGGCGCAAGCCUGAUCCAGCCAUGCCGCGUGCAGGAAGACUGCCCUAUGGGUUGUAAACUGCUUUUAUACAGGAAGAAACAGCUCUACCAGUAGAGCCUUGACGGUCCUGUAAAAAAUAAGGAUCGGCUAACUCCGUGCCAGCAGCCCCGGGCAUACGGAGGAUCCAAAGGGUUUUGCGGAAUCUUUGGGUUUAAACGGUCCGUAGACGGAAAAAUUUAGUCAGAGG
rnacentral:rRNA from 1 species